GCGGUAAUACGGAGGGGGUUAGCGUUGUUCGGAAUUACUGGGCGUAAAGCGCACGUAGGCGGACUGGAAAGUUGGGGGGUGAAAUCCCGGGGCUCAACCUCGGAACUGCCUCCAAAACUAUCAGUCUAGAGUUCGAGAGAGGUGAGUGGAAUUCCAAGUGUAGAGGUGAAAUUCGUAGAUAUUUGGAGGAACACCAGUGGCGAAGGCGGCUCACUGGCUCGAUACUGACGCUGAGGUGCGAAAGUGUGGGGAGCAAACAGGAUUAGAUACCCUGGUAGUCCACGCCGUAAACGAUGGUUACUAGCUGUUUGGACCUUGUGUCUGAGUGGCUAAGCGAAAGUGAUAAGUAACCCACCUGGGGAGUACGUUCGCAAGAAUGAAACUCAAAGGAAUUGACGGGGGCCCGCACAAGCGGUGGAGCAUGUGGUUUAAUUCGAUGAUACGCGAGGAACCUUACCAGGGCUUAAAUGUAAGUUGCAUUAGUUAGAGAUAGCUAUUUCUUCGGACCACUUACAAGGUGCUGCAUGGUU
rnacentral:rRNA from 1 species